rnacentral:tRNA from 2 species
GCGCUGUUAGCUCAGCAGGACAGAGCAAUUGCCUUCUAAGCAUCACUGGUUCGACUCCAGUACAGCGUACCA